rnacentral:rRNA from 1 species
AACGAACGCUGGCGGCAUGCCUAACACAUGCAAGUCGAACGAGACCUUCGGGUCUAGUGGCGCACGGGUGCGUAACGCGUGGGAACCUGCCCUUAGGUUCGGAAUAACUCCCCGAAAGGGGUGCUAAUACCGGAUAAUGUCUUCGGACCAAAGAUUUAUCGCCUUUGGAUGGGCCCGCGUUGGAUUAGCUAGUUGGUAGGGUAAAAGCCUACCAAGGCGACGAUCCAUAGCUGGGCUGAGAGGAUGAUCAGCCACACUGGGACUGAGACACGGCCCAGACUCCUACGGGAGGCAGCAGUGGGGAAUAUUGGACAGUGGGCGGAAGGCUGAUCCAGCAAGGCCGGGUGAGCGAUGAAGGCCGUAGGGUUGUAAAGCUCUUUUACCCGGGAUGAUAAUGACAGUACCGGGAGAAUAAGCUCCGGCUAACUCCGUG